ACGCUGGCGGCGUGCCUAACACAUGCAAGUCGAGCGGCAGCGAGUUUUACACUGAAUUCUGGAAGCUUCUGGUUGAAAGAGAAGAUUUAUUCAAGAGUUUUGUGUAAAAUGUCGGCGAGCGGCGGACGGCUGAGUAACGCGUGGGAACGUACCCCAAAGUGAGGGAUAACGCAUCGAAAGGUGUGCUAAUACCGCAUAUGGUCUUCGGAUUAAAGCCUUCGGGCGCUUUGGGAACGGCCUGCGUAAGAUUAGAUAGUUGGUGGGGUAAUGGCCUACCAAGUCAACGAUCUUUAACUGGUUUGAGAGGAUGAUCAGUCAGACUGGAACUGAGACACGGUCCAGACUCCUACGGGAGGCAGCAGUGAGGAAUCUUCCACAAUGGGCGAAAGCCUGAUGGAGCAACGCCGCGUGCAGGAUGAAGGCCUUCGGGUUGUAAACUGCUUUUAUAAGUGAGGAAUAUGACAGUAACUUAUGAAUAAGGAUCGGCUAACUACGUGCCAGCAGCCGCGGUCAUACGUAGGAUCCGAGCGUUAUCCGGAGUGACUGGGCGUAAAGAGUUGCGUAGGUGGUUUAAUAAGCGAAUAGUGAAAUCUGGUGGCUCAACCAUUCAGACUAUUAUUCGAACUGUUAAACUCGAGAGCAGAAGAGGUAGCUGGAAUUUCUAGUGUAGGAGUGAAAUCCGUAGAUAUUAGAAGGAACACCGAUGGCGUAGGCAGGCUACUGGGCUGUUUCUGACACUGAGGCACGAAAGCGUGGGGAGCGAACCGGAUUAGAUACCCGGGUAGUCCACGCCGUAAACGAUGGAUACUAGCUGUUUGGGGUAUCGACCCCCUGAGUAGCCAAGCUAACGCGUUAAGUAUCCCGCCUGUGGAGUACGAUCGCAAGAUUAAAACAUAAAGGAAUUGACGGG
rnacentral:rRNA from 1 species